rnacentral:rRNA from 1 species
GACGUAAGAGGCGAGCGUUGUCCGGAUUCAUUGGGCGUAAAGAGCGCGCAGGCGGCUUGGUAAGUCGGAUGUGAAAUCCCGAGGCUCAACCUCGGGUCUGCAUCCGAUACUGCCCGGCUAGAGGUAGGUAGGGGAGAUCGGAAUUCCUGGUGUAGCGGUGAAAUGCGCAGAUAUCAGGAGGAACACCGGUGGCGAAGGCGGAUCUCUGGGCCUUACCUGACGCUCAGGCGCGAAAGCUAGGGGAGCGAACUGG